rnacentral:lncRNA from 1 species
CCUCAUCCUCGAGCCCCACUACUCAGAGGAGCUGGGAAGAAUUUCCACCCUUCCUAGUGGCAAGUCUCACUGUGAGAGCGGAGUGCCACCAGGCAAACAGGGCAGAAAGACUGCUUUAAGGAGAAUCCUUAUAUUGGGGGUUAUGAAGUGCAAUACACCCUCAUCCUCACGCUAACACUGGUACCAUGUAGCCCAAGCUUGUCUAACCUGCAGCCCGCGGGCUGUGUAUGGCCCAGGACAGCUCUGAAUGUGGCCCAACGCAAAUUUGUAAACUUUCUAAAACAUUAUGAGAUUUUUUUUUCUCAUCAGCUAUCAUCAGUGUGAGUGUAUGUUAUUUGUGACUCAAGACAAUCCUUCUUUUCCAAUGUGGCCCAGAGAAGCCAAAAGACUGGACACCCCUGAUGUGGCCCUUUCAUCCAUAGUAGCCUAUUUUGUCCUAAAGACGGUCUUGUGCAGUGAGUAGGCCAGGCCUCCCCACUACCACAGUUUACAGGCAAGGAAUGUGAUAUUUCAUAGGAUGACCCUGACUGGCACCUACAUUGCUAGCCAAAGAAUGGCACAAAGAUGUGGACAGAAGAGACAACCUUAAGCAGCUGACUGCUGGCUCCUGCAACAGUAUCAUCAUGGCAUUUGUCCUGGGGUCCCAAGGAAAGAAAACAAAUCUGUGGCUGAGGAACAGACUGAGUUGACAAAGCAGCUUCCACAGUAACACAAGGACAAAGGGUGUAUGUAGAUAUGCACGUGGUAGCAGGUUCUACUAAAGGAACCUGGACCGACCAUUCUCACUCACAUUCUUUGGGAGCUGUAUUCUAAUACUUUCAGAAAAGCCAUGGGAACACACCAGAGUGACUGCUCGAGUAAAUAAGUAGCAUAAACAGCAAGCCAAACCAUUGAUGUACACAUCACUGGGCCCAAUACUAUGAAAUCCCACAUAAGAAACUUGAAAGUGAAAGCUGGAAUUCUGAGGAUACUGGUUUUGCUUAAUAAACAGCAUUUCAACAGAAGCAGCCUCCAAGUGUUUUCUCUGCUCUCCGGCAAGCACGUGACCUGACCACUGCUGCUAUCUGGAAAGGAAGUGGUGGAAUGUGGAAGUUUACAGGGCGUUCGUGUACACGCAUCUUCUGGCCCAGAGCCCGUGGAAUCCAGCCAGCAGUUGCUGUGCCACUGUGUUCUCUGGCCUCCCCCUCUCAGCGGCCUUGGGCAGCCUGGGAAUCUCCGGCUUCGUGCUUUU